rnacentral:rRNA from 1 species
GGUGAUGACCAUAUUGUGAAGCCACCUGAUCUUAUCUGAUCUUGGGAGCAAAGCAGGGUCCAACCUGGUUAGUACUUGGAAGGAAAACUGCCUGGAAAAAAGUGUGCUGUAGGCU